GGAUCACUUAGAUUUGAGAUAUUUCUCUUUACUUCUGAUGUCUUCGAUUUCAUCUCCGAUAUGGAUAUAGUGGAACAGAGGAAUGAGGAUCGGCAUAGCAGGCCAACUAAUUCUGGGGGUGAAGCAAAAUCGAUGGAUUGAUUCCUGAUUUGCCGUUCUAUUUAUUUAUUUACUUAUUUUUGUAGGCGCAAUUAUGUUUGGAGAUGCAUUGUUGCCUUCAGAGUGUUCUCUCAUUGUUGAGGAGUUGAAGCAGACUUCAUUGUGUUUUCAA
rnacentral:misc_RNA from 1 species